rnacentral:rRNA from 1 species
UACGUAGGGUGCGAGCGUUUGUCCGGAAUUACUGGGCGUAAAGGGCUCGUAGGCGGCCAACUAAGUCAUACGUGAAAUCCCUCAGCUUAACUGGGGAACUGCGUGUGAUACUGGAUGGCUUGGAUUUGGGAGAGGGAUGCGGAAUUCCAGGUGUAGCGGUGAAAUGCGUAGAUAUCUGGAGGAACACCGGUGGCGAAGGCGACAUCCUGGACCGGUAUUGACGCUGAGGCGCGAAAGCCAGGGGAGCAAAGCGGG